GAGAGUUUGAUCCUGGCUCAGGACGAACGCUGGCGGCACGCUUAACACAUGCAAGUCGAACGAGAGAAGAGGAGCUUGCUUUUCUGAUCUAGUGGCGGACGGGUGAGUAACACGUGAGCAAUCUGCCUUUCAGAGGGGGAUACCGAUUGGAAACGAUCGUUAAUACCGCAUAAUAUAAUUGAACCGCAUGAUUUGAUUAUCAAAGAUUUAUCGCUGAAAGAUGAGCUCGCGUCUGAUUAGCUAGUUGGUAAGGUAACGGCUUACCAAGGCGACGAUCAGUAGCCGGACUGAGAGGUUGAUCGGCCACAUUGGGACUGAGACACGGCCCAGACUCCUACGGGAGGCAGCAGUGGGGAAUAUUGCACAAUGGAGGAAACUCUGAUGCAGCGAUGCCGCGUGAGGGAAGAAGGUUUUAGGAUUGUAAACCUCUGUCUUCAGGGACGAAAAAUGACGGUACCUGAGGAGGAAGCUCCGGCUAACUACGUGCCAGCAGCCGCGGUAAUACGUAGGGAGCGAGCGUUGUCCGGAAUUACUGGGUGUAAAGGGAGCGUAGGCGGGAUCGCAAGUCAGAUGUGAAAACUAUGGGCUUAACCCAUAAACUGCAUUUGAAACUGUGGUUCUUGAGUGAAGUAGAGGUAAGCGGAAUUCCUAGUGUAGCGGUGAAAUGCGUAGAUAUUAGGAGGAACAUCAGUGGCGAAGGCGGCUUACUGGGCUUUAACUGACGCUGAGGCUCGAAAGCGUGGGGAGCAAACAGGAUUAGAUACCCUGGUAGUCCACGCCGUAAACGAUGAUUACUAGGUGUGGGGGGACUGGCCCCUUCCGUGCCGCAGCAAACGCAAUAAGUAAUCCACCUGGGGAGUACGACCGCAAGGUUGAAACUCAAAGGAAUUGACGGGGGCCCGCACAAGCAGUGGAGUAUGUGGAUUAAUUCGAAGCAACGCGAAGAACCUUACCAGGUCUUGACAUCGUAUGCAUAGCUCAGAGAUGAGUGAAAUCUCUUCGGAGACAUAUAGACAGGUGGUGCAUGGUUGUCGUCAGCUCGUGUCGUGAGAUGUUGGGUUAAGUCCCGCAACGAGCGCAACCCUUACUGUUAGUUGCUACGCAAGAGCACUCUAGCAGGUCUGCCGUUGACAAAACGGAGGAAGGUGGGGAUGACGUCAAAUCAUCAUGCCCCUUAUGACCUGGGCCUCACACGUACUACAAUGGCUGUAAACAGAGGGAUGCAAAGCCGCGAGGUGGAGCGAACCCCUAAAAGCAGUCUUAGUUCGGAUUGUAGGCUGCAACCCGCCUACAUGAAGUCGGGAUUGCUAGUAAUCGCAGAUCAGCAUGCUGCGGUGAAUACGUUCCCGGGCCUUGUACACACCGCCCGUCACGCCAUGGGAGUCGGUAACACCCGAAGCCUGUAGUCUAACCGCAAGGAGGACGCAGUCGAAGGUGGGAUUGAUGACUGGGGUGAAGUCGUAACAAGGUAGCCG
rnacentral:rRNA from 1 species